CUUGUCACAAAGCCGACCAUUUCCUGGGCUGCACCAAAAGAAGUGUGGCUAGCAGGGCGAGGGAGGUGAUCCUGCUCCUCAACUCUGCCACUGAAGAGAAACCUACAACCAAAGAAAACUGAUGGAUUCAUCAUCCCGACAUGACGCUCCUGGAACUUCAGAUUGCUCUUUUAUACACAUGUUGCAAAAAGGAAUGGUCAAAGGGAGCUUGUCAACUCCUGGUUCACAGGAACCCUGCCAAAGCUGGAACACUGCAUCUCAGCUGCAUCUUUCUGUGCCCUUCAGGAACUUACUGGGCACUGUAGCACUGAGAGUCAGCUGGAUUCAGCAGUGACCAUCAGUGUGAGAUUCACCACCUGUUUGCACAGGUCACCAUUGCUUGCCCCUUGGCUUAAAUCUUACAGCUUAUGCCCACUUAUGCUUUUAUUUGGAAAAAAAUAAAAUGUGUUGAAAAAUAAAAUGACCAUGUGUGACAA